rnacentral:rRNA from 1 species
UAGUGGCGACGGGUGAGUACACGUGGGCAAUCUGCCCUUCACUCUGGGACAAGCCCUGGAAACGGGGUCUAAUACCGGAUAACACUCUGUCCCGCGUGGGACGGGGUUAAAAGCUCCGGCGGUGAAGGAUGAGCCCGCGGCCUAUCAACUUGUUGGUGGGGUAAUGGCCUACCAAGGCGACAACGGGUAGCCGGCCUGAGAGGGCGACCGGCCACACUGGGACUGAGACACGGCCCAGACUCCUACGGGAGGCAGCAGUGGGGAAUAUUGCACAAUGGGCGAAAGCCUGAUGCAGCGACGCCGCGUGAGGGAUGACGGCCUUCGGGUUGUAAACCUCUUUCAGCAGGGAAGAAGCGCAAGUGACGGUACCUGCUCAAGAAGCACCGGCUAACUACGUGCCAGCAGCCGCGGUAAUACGUAGGGUGCGAGCGUUGUCCGGAAUUAUUGGGCGUAAAGAGCUCGGAGGCGGCUUGUCACGUCUGAUGUGAAAGCUCAGCGCUUAACCGCGAGUCUGCAUUCGAUACGGGCUAUCUAGAGUGUGGUACGAGAGAUCGGUAUUCCUGGUGUAGCGGUGAAGUGCGCAGAUAUCACGAGGAACACCGGUGGCGAAUGCGGAUCUCUGGGACCAUUACUGACGCUGAGGAGCGAAAGCGUGGGGAGCGAACAUGAUUGGAUCUCCUGAUAGUCCACGCCGUAAGCGUUGAGGACUAGGUGUUCGGCGACAUUCCACCGUCGUCAGUGUCGCAGCUAACGGCAUUGGAGUUCCUCGCCUGCGUAGUACGGCCGCAUGCCUAAAACAUCAAAAGCAGUUGACCGGGGG